UACGGAGGGAGCUAGCGUUGUUCGGAAUUACUGGGCGUAAAGCGCGCGUAGGCGGCUUUGUAAGUUAGAUGUGAAAGCCCUGGGCUCAACCUGGGAAUGGCAUUGGAAACUGGCGACCUAGAGUGCGGUAGAGGGUAGUGGAAUUCCCGGUGUAGCAGUGAAAUGCGUAGAGAUCGGGAGGAACAUCCGUGGCGAAGGCGACUACCUGGACCAGCACUGACACUGAGGCACGAAAGCGUGGGGAGCAAACAGG
rnacentral:rRNA from 1 species